CGGUUCCCAGUUCCCCACCUGUCACAUUGCAGAAUCAGACCACCGCCUCUCUAGGUGCUAAGCUUGGCUUCGUUGAUACACGUUAUGGACAAAGCAACGACACAAGAGGUCUGUUUUUCCGCCUGCAGCACAUUGCAUUAAGUUGUGUCAUAAAGCACUUGACACUGUUAGAACAGGUUUAACCUGUCUUAUUUCCACAGGAAGUAUGACUGAAAUAAGGUCACCGUACGCAACACGAAGCUCAAAUGACGAUACAGAUUUCAUCAAGUUAGUUUUUCAGAGAAAUUGUUAACGAACAGUACUUUAUGCUAUAUAUAAUAGGAAGCGCAAAAUUUACUACUACAAAGGCUUAAUUAAAAUAAAACAAUUCAAUUUAUAUGUCUCUCUUUCAACAGGUCCCCAUUCAACAGAGGUAAAGGGAUAAACAGAUCAUAUGGAGACCUCUCGGUGGGAGAAUCUGAUUUAUCAUUUGUCAGCUCUGGUCGUCCAAGUUCAGAUCGUACAUUUCCGAUCUCUAUGGAUAGUCAUGAUUUGGG
rnacentral:lncRNA from 1 species